UGAAUCAAGAGAACGGCUGAGCAAAAGCAAAAACACAAGCAGCAUUUUCACAUAAGGUUGCCAUUAACAUGAAACUGAUUUAUUACUGAAGAUUAAUUUAUUAAUCUACUUAGCAACAUAACAUCUUCGGAGCACUCCUGUUUAUAGCCUGACUGAAACAAAGUGGACGCCUCUCAACCCCGGGAAAAAAACAAACGGAUCUGCAAUUCAUAAUUCAAAAUUUGAAUUCAUAAGUGGCUAUUUUCCAUCCAAAACUGCAAAUUAAGAGGAAAGUGCACCCCUGAAAGUUACGAUUCUGCUGUUGGUGAUCUACAAGCUGAAGAUCGUCAAGGCAUCAAAGGCAUAAAGGCAGGACUCCUGAAACUAGCAGCUCAUCUGUUGAUGCUUCGCCAGGACCUCCAACAUCCUUGCAGUCCCUUUCACCCAGAAGUUCACCCUCCACCUCUUCCAACAGCCCCCAAAGCCCUGAUAUAGACUGGGUUGAUACCUUUAUGAUACAGUGGGAUAAGUUCCCAGAGGAAUUGAUGCAGUCAUUGGAGAAAGGAAAAUGACCAAGUCCAAGAAUGAGAAGGGAGAUGGUCCGGAUUGUGGUUUGUGAGAUGAAGCGAAACAAUUCUUGCAUAAAUAAAACGAACUCUACUGAAGUUGCCAAAAAGAUGGUGGCAAAAUAUCCAAAAUCUCUGCAAGACAUAAUAGAGGGAGACGUGAUUGGGCCAGGGUAUCACUCCCAAGUCAAGCAAUUGCACUAUAGGAUAGAGAAUGUGAGGCAAUCUACAACCCCAAAAAUAAGAAAGCGAAAGCAUCGCACUGAUGAGUCUGACACUGAUAAAACAGAGAGCAGCAAUCCAGGACACUUAUGGGUGUAUUAAGUGGAAAUUAAAAUUCCUGCCCCUUGGAGGGACCACAGAUCCAGCAGGAGAAGAAAGAAAAACUGAAAAAGAUGUUUGAGCAAACUGAUGCAAAUCCAGAGGAGGUCAAACAUCUAGUGAAGUUGACUUUCUACGCACAGCGUAAACAAAUAAACCAGGGGAAAAACAUAUAACACCUCCUGGAAAAGUGGCCGUUUUGGUUCGACGAAUGUUCUGUUAUGUGGAGGACACAUGCCUGGCAGGGGAAGUACAGAUGGACCAAGUUCCCUUGACUCCCACCAUUGUCAUGUGUGAACGAUCCUGCUACUCCUCAAGACGGUUCGUGCUGAGUGUGGAUCGAAACAUUAUACUUAAUGACAACUCCUCUUUCGUUUCUACCUUGACUCAGGAACUUUCAGAUCACACGAGUGGCGUGAUGUCUGAAUAUGGACUAAACUCAUCAAUAAACUAAAUUGAUGUGCCCCACUCACAGCUUAAAGGUUUGUUUCAUCUAAUUAUCUGCUCAGUUCUUUAAGCUCAAGAGGCAAAUAAAGGAUUUUUGUAGUUUACUCAAUUGUUACUGAGUUUUAUUGCUCUUGUUUCCAUGCCUGUACCUCAGUUUGAAAAGCUUGUUUGAAGAUCUUGGUACAUUUGUUCCAUUUAUUCUAAGGAAAUGCUGUAAUCUUUAAAGGAUGUUAAAAAUUCUUACAUUUAUUCCUUUAACAAGCCUCUGGAUUGUUCUUAAGACAUUUUAGGAGGAAAGUCUUUAGAUCUAAAAAGCUAUUCAGCUUUUAGAAAAUAUUAGAAAUGUGUAUGUUGGGAAAUGACAUGCUUUUGUAAAAAAUUGAGGUUAAUAAAUUCUUGCAAAGGAAAGUUAUUAUUGGAUUAUGCCUUUAAAUUGAAAUGAAUAAAUAAAAAAAAUGUAUAUAUUGUAUUUAGAUGUUACUUUCACUGUAAAUCUCCAUUAUUAAUACUGCAAAAGAUACUACGUUAUAAACAACCUUUGAGUAAAAUUAGCAGAAAAACUCCGCUAAAUUACAAUUUUAUAAUAAGACAUUCAGUUAAAUAAUGUUUUUUUUUAUUUUUUUUUUAUGGUAAUUCAGUGAAAUUGUGUGGGAUUCAAUGUUUAAAAAAGCAACAACUGCAUGAAAUAUUACUGAAAGAAAUAAUUUAAUAGCAGCAUGGUCAUGCUAAUUUGGCAGAAAAGGGCUGUUGGAUUUACAGGUUUAAAAUGUAAUUUUGUAAAUACAUUUUGUAAAUAAAGUUUUAAACUGUAAAAUUCACAUCUUGUCCUGUAAAGUUGUUUACAUUUUUACAGUAUUUUUUACAGAAUUGUUCUUGCAACCACAGCUGCAAGG